rnacentral:rRNA from 1 species
UACGUAGGGUGCGAGCGUUGUCCGGAAUUACUGGGCGUAAAGAGCUCGUAGGCGGUUUGUCGCGUCGUCCGUGAAAACUUGGGGCUCAACCCCAAGCUUGCGGGCGAUACGGGCAGACUUGAGUACUGCAGGGGAGACUGGAAUUCCUGGUGUAGCGGUGAAAUGCGCAGAUAUCAGGAGGAACACCGGUGGCGAAGGCGGGUCUCUGGGCAGUAACUGACGCUGAGGAGCGAAAGCGUGGGGUAGCGAAACAGG